rnacentral:lncRNA from 1 species
UCUCCUCGAGCCCUGCAGCCCGGCGAAAUGGCUCCCGGCGGGGCCGUUUGCGCAUGCCCAGUCAUGACGGUUGUCGGCGCGGGCCCUAGCGUGGCGGCGCUGCAGUCUGGGCAGUGGGUUGGUUCCUCCUCGGUCCUCUGUCGAGUGGCGACAGGGCCUAGCCACCUGGCGGGGGUGACCUUCGGACGUGCGACCCGCUCGGAGAAGGGAGGGAACUGUGGCCCGCAACAAAGCAGUGACAGGCCCGACAUCCCCUGCAGGGCGAUCUUUCCCUCAGCUGCCUGCCGGAGGAAGGGCCUUUCUGUUUCACAGGGCUAAAGAUGGGGCGCGGUUCCUCCACGGGGCGGCUGCCGGGUGAACGGAACGGGGAUGGAGGCGCUGCCAGAAGAGCCCGAGCUCGAGCCCGCCCUGCCCUCGGCCUCCCCGCCGCGCCGCUCCGCAGGAGCCCCGCUCCUCUCCUGCUCGCUCCGGAGAACCCCAGUCCGGCCUGACCUCGGCCCUCGCGGUCAGGCGCUCCAACCAGAGCGACUCCAGCUCGAACAGCGCUGGGUAAACUGAGGCUGAACCCCGCUGGCUGCAUCCCCAGGAGUCGGGCGUUUACGGUCACGGGAACAGGUUAAUAAACUUUUACGCAGCAGACCCGGAACUUAGGUCCCGAUGUCCGGGUAUCUUAAGAACAAGAAGCAUUCUUAGUUGAAGUUUCGCUUUAAAGAUAAUGAUACAGAUGCUUGCGGAGGACAGGCGUUAUGCAAAGAUUGGCAAUCCUUUGACGAGCCCAGGUAGUACAGCACGUCUCCCCCGUGAUGUUUUUUGGCUUUUAUCUUACAUAUAAACAAGCGUACCCAGGUGGACGCCUUCCUCCUCGUGCUUUUGGGAACACCCUGCUCUAUGGAGUAGCCAUUCUUUUAUUCCUUCACUGCCUUAAUAAACUUGCUUUCACUUUACUCUGUGGACUGGCCUGGAAUUCUUUCUUCCACAAGAUCCACGAAUCCUCUUUUGGGGUCUGGAUCAGGACCCUUUUCCGGUAACACAACCACUCCACUAAAAACUCUUUGUCAGUGAUCUCUAUAUUGUUAGUGGUCAGUUCUCAGUCCUCGUCCUCCGGGAACUACAGCAAAAUCGAUAGUCAUUCUUGCUACACAUGCUUUCUUCAC